CCUACGGGAGGCAGCAGUGAGGAAUAUUGGUCAAUGGACGAGAGUCUGAACCAGCCAAGUAGCGUGAAGGAUGACUGCCCUAUGGGUUGUAAACUUCUUUUAUAUGGGAAUAAAAUAGGGUAUGUAUACUCCCUUGUAUGUACCAUAUGAAUAAGGAUCGGCUAACUCCGUGCCAGCAGCCGCGGUAAUACGGAGGAUCCGAGCGUUAUCCGGAUUUAUUGGGUUUAAAGGGAGCGUAGGUGGAUUGUUAAGUCAGUUGUGAAAGUUUGCGGCUCAACCGUAAAAUUGCAGUUGAUACUGGCAGUCUUGAGUACAGUAGAGGUAGGCGGAAUUCGUGGUGUAGCGGUGAAAUGCUUAGAUAUCACGAAGAACUCCGAUUGCGAAGGCAGCUCGCUGGACUGCAACUGACACUGAUGCUCGAAAGUGUGGGUAUCAAACAGGAUUAGAUACCCUAGUAGUC
rnacentral:rRNA from 1 species